CCUACGGGUGGCUGCAGUGGGGAAUAUUGGACAAUGGGCGAAAGCCUGAUCCAGCCAUGCCGCGUGUGUGAAGAAGGCCUUCGGGUUGUAAAGCACUUUCAGUGGGGAAGAAAGCCUUGGGGCUACUACCCUCGAGGAAGGACAUCACCCACAGAAGAAGCACCGGCUAACUCCGUGCCAGCAGCCGCGGUAAUACGGAGGGUGCGAGCGUUAAUCGGAAUUACUGGGCGUAAAGCGCGCGUAGGCGGUCUGAUAAGCCGGUUGUGAAAGCCCCGGGCUCAACCUGGGAACGGCAUCCGGAACUGUCAGGCUAGAGUGCAGGAGAGGAAGGUAGAAUUCCCGGUGUAGCGGUGAAAUGCGUAGAGAUCGGGAGGAAUACCAGUGGCGAAGGCGGCCUUCUGGACUGACACUGACGCUGAGGUGCGAAAGCGUGGGUAGCAAACAGGAUUAGAUACCCCAGUAGUC
rnacentral:rRNA from 1 species